ACGGGAGGCAGCAGUAGGGAAUUUUCGGCAAUGGGGGAAACCCUGACCGAGCAAUGCCGCGUGAAUGAUGAAAUUCUUCGGAAUGUAAAGUUCUGUUAUAAGGGACGAAUGAUAGGAUUAGGAAAUGAGUUCUAUUUGACGGUACCUUACUAGAAAGCUCCGGCUAACUAUGUGCCAGCAGCCGCGGUAAUACAUAGGGAGCAAGCGUUAUCCGGAUUUAUUGGGCGUAAAGAGUGCGUAGGUGGUCAUUUAAGUCUGUCUUAAAAUCCCAUGGCUUAACCAUGGAGGGUGGAUGGAAACUGGAUGACUUGAAUGCAGAAGAGGUAAGUGGAAUUCCAUGUGGAGCGGUAAAAUGCUUAGAUAUAUGGAGGAACACCAGUGGCGAAGGCGGCUUACUGGUCUGUGAUUGACACUGAGGCACGAAAGCGUGGGGAGCAAACAGGAUUAGAUACCCUGGUA
rnacentral:rRNA from 1 species